UUAGCCCUUUCUCAUGCCUUACCCUCCGGCCCUACCAUUUUAACCCUCUCCACCUCUCUCUUAAAGUAACAAAUUCAUAGCUCAACAAGAGGAAUGGUUACAACAGCUCCUGGUUUCUCCUUGAAUCAACAAAUCCCCCAUCAACGCAUUAUGGAAGAGGAGGCAGCAGAUUUCACAGACAAAUCGCCAUCUCACUGCAACCUUCACGAAUCCAUCCUCGCCACAGAUAAUGUGUGCAGGUGAGACGUAGAGAUAAAGUUCAUCUGAAGGCAGCGACUUUCGUUCUCCAGGAAUCAACAUGAAACAGCUCCACGAGCAGGCAAGCCGGAACCACACGAGAGAUGAGGAAGGAACUCGCAACCCCAUUCUCUUUAACACCAUUAACAACCAACGAGACUCUCUCUCUAGCACCACGCCCAAAAUGUUCGACACAAUGCCUAAGAGAGACAUAGUCUCUUGGAUCUCUCUAAUCUCAAGCUUCGACCAUGUAUUUAUGCAUCAUGAUACGUGGAUGAUCAUCCCAUGGGCAUAUCGGCAUCCUCAAAGGAUUGUUAGGGCCCAUCUGGUUAUGUCGGUAUGGACUAUUUGGACUCAUCUGGGGCACCGGUGGUGUACGUUUAGACCUGCAAGGAUUGUUAUGACCUAUCUGGUUAUGCCGGUAGGGACUAUUUGGACUCAUCCGGGAUGCCUGUGAGGUAUGUUUGGACCUACAAGGAUUGUUACGACCUAUCCGGUUAUGCCGUUAGGGACUAUUUGGACUUUUCUGGGAUGCCGAUGAGCUAUGUUUAGACCCGCAAGGAUUAUUAGGACCUAUCCAAUUAUGUCGGUGGAGACUAUUUGGACUCAUCCGGGACGCCGGUGAGGAUUGUUUGGACCCAUCCAGGAUGUUGGUGGGGUAUAUAGGU